rnacentral:rRNA from 1 species
AGAGUUUGAUCCUGGCUCAGGAUGAACGCUGGCGGCGUGCCUAAUACAUGCAAGUCGAACGCACUGUGGUUCAACUGAUUUGAAGAGCUUGCUCUGAUAUGACGAUGAACAUUGCAGUGAGUGGCGAACGGGUGAGUAACACGUGGGAAACCUACCUCUUAGCGGGGGAUAACAUCUGGAAACAGAUGCUAAUACCGCAUAACAGUAGCAACCGCAUGGUUGCUACUUGAAAGAUGGUUCUGCUAUCACUAAGAGAUGGUCCCGCGGCGCAUUAGUUAGUUGGUGAGGUAAUGGCUCACCAAGACGAUGAUGCGUAGCCGAGUUGAGAGACUGAUCGGCCACAAUAGGACUGAGACACGGCCCAUACUCCUACGGGAGGCAGCAGUAGGGAAUCUUCCACAAUGGACGAAAGUCUGAUGGAGCAACGCCGCGUGUGUGAUGAAGGGUUUCGACUCGUAAAACACUGUUGUAAGAGAAGAAUAGCAUCAAGAGUAACUGCUUGGUGUGUGACGGUAUCUUACCAGAAAGGAACGGCUAAAUACGUGCCAGCAGCCGCGGUAAUACGUAUGUUCCAAGCGUUAUCCGGAUUUAUUGGGCGUAAAGCGAGCGCAGACGGUUUUUUAAGUCCGAAGUGAAAGCCCACAGCUUAACUGUGGAAGUGCUUUGGAAACUGGAUGACUUGAGUGCAGUAGAGGAGAGUGGAAUUCCAUGUGUAGCGGUGAAAUGCGUAGAUAUGUGGAGGACACCAGUGGCGAAGGCGGCUCUCUGGGACUGUAACUGACGUUGAGCUCGAAAGUGUGGGUAGCAAACAGGAUAGAUACCUGGUAGUCCACACCGUAAA